rnacentral:rRNA from 1 species
CAGGACGAACGCUGGCGGCGUGCCUAAUACAUGCAAGUCGAACGGUCUUUCUAUGGAAGCUUGCUUCCACUGAGAAGAUAGUGGCGAACGGGUGAGUAACACGUGGGUAACCUGCCCAUAAGAGGGGGAUAACAUCCGGAAACGGGUGCUAAUACCGCAUAGUUUUUCUUGAUCGCAUGAUUGAGAAAGGAAAGACGGCCUUUGUGCUGUCGCUUAUGGAUGGACCCGCGGCGUAUUAGUUAGUUGGUGAGGUAACGGCUCACCAAGACGAUGAUACGUAGCCGACCUGAGAGGGUGAUCGGCCACAUUGGGACUGAGACACGGCCCAAACUCCUACGGGAGGCAGCAGUAGGGAAUCUUCCGCAAUGGACGAAAGUCUGACGGAGCAACGCCGCGUGAGUGAAGAAGGUUUUCGGAAUCGUAAAACUCUGUUGUCAGAGAAGAACAAGUUGGAGAGUAACUGCUCCAGCCUUGACGGUAUCUGACCAGAAAGCCACGGCUAACUACGUGCCAGCAGCAGC